rnacentral:rRNA from 1 species
CACGAAGCUAGUUGAGCUAACACAAUUUUCCCCACAUGUGGCAUAAUGUGGCGUAAAGUUGCGUUAGGGGUGAAAGGCCUUCCAAAUAUAGUGAUAUCUUGAUGUGAACGAGGCGGAUUGAGUACCAGGACGGUUACAAAGUUAUAAGAUUUUGUAAGAGACUUAAUGAUUAUGUGCAUGGCAUGUAGAUUUAAAAAUCCACACAAGAAACAAGCAAAUAUAAAUCGAAGAGGGUUUAUUAAUUUAGUUUACGGUAAUAAAAACUUGACUAUCGCUCAAAAUGUUAGCAUUAGUAUCUCUAAAGUAUUAAUAGUGAACUCGGCAAAAAAGCUUUCAACUGUUUAUCAAAAACAUAGCCGCAUGUCUCACAUGCGGUGUGUUCUGCUCAAUGACAUUUAAAUAGCCGCAGUACCCUGACUGUGCAAAGGUAGCGUAAUCAUUUGUCUUUUAAUUGAAGUCGUGUAUGAAUGAAUGCAUGGGGGCUUACUUUACCAUUUAUACUAACUGAAGUUACUCAAGAGGUGAAAAGACCUCUACGCAGAAAAUAGACGAGAAGACCCUUGAAAUUUAUAUAAAAAAUUUUGUUGGGGCAACAUAGUAAAUAAACAUACACAAUGUACAUGUCAUUUAUUUGUUUGAUGAAAUUACUCUAGGGAUAACAGCAUAAUUCUCUACUGAGUUUGUGACCUCGAUGUUGGAUUAGGGAACUAUAGCCUAAAA